CCUACGGGAGUCAGCAGUGGGGGAUAUUGGACAAUGGGGGGGAACCCUGAUCCAGCGACGCCGCGUGAGUGAAGAAGUAUUUCGGUAUGUAAAGCUCUGUCAGCAGGGAAGAAAGCAAUGACUGUACCUGACCAAGAAUCCCCGGCUAACUACGUGCCAGCAGCCGCGGUAAUACGUAGGGGGCAAGCGUUAUCCGGAAUUACUGGGUGUAAAGGGAGCGUAGACGGCUGUGCAAGUCUGGAGUGAAAGGCGGGGGCCCAACCCCCGGACUGCUCUGGAAACUGUAUGGCUGGAGUGCAGGGGAGGUAAGCGGAAUUCCGAGUGUAGCGGUGAAAUGCGUAGAUAUUAGGAGGAACACCAGUGGCGAAGGCGGCUUACUGGACUGUAACUGACGUUGAGGCUCGAAAGCGUGGGGAGCAAACAGGAUUAGAUACCCGGGUAGUC
rnacentral:rRNA from 1 species